GAUGAACGCUGGCGGCGUGCCUAAUACAUGCAAGUCGAGCGAACAGACGAGGAGCUUGCUCCUCUGACGUUAGCGGCGGACGGGUGAGUAACACGUGGAUAACCUACCUAUAAGACUGGGAUAACUUCGGGAAACCGGAGCUAAUACCGGAUAAUAUAUUGAACCGCAUGGAUCAAUAGUGAAAGACGGUUUUGCUGUCACUUAUAGAUGGAUCCGCGCCGCAUUUGCUAGUUGGUAAGGUAACGGCUUACCAAGGCGACGAUGCGUAGCCGACCUGAGAGGGUGAUCGGCCACACUGGAACUGAGACACGGUCCAGACUCCUACGGGAGGCAGCAGUAGGGAAUCUUCCGCAAUGGGCGAAAGCCUGACGGAGCAACGCCGCGUGAGUGAUGAAGGUCUUCGGAUCGUAAAACUCUGUUAUUAGGGAAGAACAAAUGUGUAAGUAACUAUGCACGUCUUGACGGUACCUAAUCAGAAAGCCACGGCUAACUACGUG
rnacentral:rRNA from 1 species